rnacentral:rRNA from 1 species
AGUGAACGCUGGCGGUAGGCCUAACACAUGCAAGUCGAACGGCAGCACAGUAAGAGCUUGCUCUUACGGGUGGCGAGUGGCGGACGGGUGAGGAAUACAUCGGAACCUACUUUUUCGUGGGGGAUAACGUAGGGAAACUUACGCUAAUACCGCAUACGACCUACGGGUGAAAGCAGGGGAUCUUCGGACCUUGCGCGAUUGAAUGAGCCGAUGUCGGAUUAGCUAGUUGGCGGGGUAAAGGCCCACCAAGGCGACGGUCCGUAGCUGGUCUGAGAGGAUGAUCAGCCACACUGGAACUGAUACACGGUCCAGACUACUACGGGAGGCAGCAGUGGGGAAUAUUGGACAAUGGGCGCAAGCCUGAUCCAGCCAUACCGCGUGGGUGAAGAAGGCCUUCGGGUUGUAAAGCCCUUUUGUUGGGAAAGAAAAGCAGCAGGUUAAUACCCCGCUGUUCUGACGGUACCCAAAGAAUAAGCACCGGCUAACUUCGUGC